GUGAUAUUAAACCACGCCCACAGUGGGCGGGGCCGCGCGGGCGGCGGCGGCGGGAACCGGCGCGGAGAUGAUUUCCCAGCUCUUCAUCCUCAGCUCCAAGGGCGAUCCCCUCAUCCACAGGGAUUUCCGUGGGGACCCCGCCCUGUCCCCCCGGGAGGUGACGGAUCAGUUUUUACCGCGGGGUCACGGCCGGCGGCGCCCGGAGCCCCGUGUUCAUGGUCAGGGAAAUUCGGGGAUUUUGGGGGAAAUUUGGGGAAAUUUGGGGAA